rnacentral:tRNA from 1 species
GGUGCAGUAGAUGAGCGAUUGAGCUUUCGCCUCAUAUUCGAAAACACCCGGGUUCGACUCCUGGCUGCUCCU